UACGUAGGGUGCGAGCGUUGCCCGGAUUUAUUGGGCGUAAAGGGCGCGUAGGCGGUCACGCACGUCCGUUGUGAAAUCGCUCGGCUCAACUGGGCGGGGUCAGCGGAUACGGCGUGGCUGGAGCAAGCUAGGGGGCAAUGGAAUUCCCGGUGUAGUGGUGGAAUGCGUAGAUAUCGGGAGGAACACCAGUGGCGAAGGCGGCUUUCUGGCCUGUUCUUGACGCUGAGGCGCGAAAGCUAGGGGAGCAAACGGG
rnacentral:rRNA from 1 species